UCCGCCUUCUUUCCAUCUGAAUUUCUUUUGGUUAAGGUCGUCGGCGCGCAAUAAACUUUAGUUAAAUUUAUUAAAAAUGGAACUGAUACAACAUAUAUUUCGGAUAUCCGAUGACCUGACAAUGGUCAGUAAAUCGUGUAUUAAAACUAAUGCUAAAAGAAAUAAGGAAGGAUGAAAUUAAGGGCAAGCAUUGGAGCUCUCGGGUUCCACGUGGUGCAAUGUGAGCCACCUGAGGACAAUUCAAACUUUUAUGUGGAAUAUCAUCUCUAAGUCCUAUGGAUUGAGUUUGAGAUAGGUUCUAAUAUGCCCUCCGCCCAACUAAAGGCAAUGCAAGAGGGCAUUCUCUAACGGCGCAGAUAAGUUCAUUGAAAGGUGAAACUGAAAUGUGUGGCCUCCAAUGGAUUGCUUAUCGUUUGGGCCAAUUAAAAGAUUGUGCAAAAGCCUAAUGCUUCAGCAAUAGGACAGAAGAUGAUUUUAAAAAGGAUGCAGUGCUAUGAAUGAAUCUUCAGGAACCUAAACUACCGUUUAAUAUAUAAAAUAAAUUCUUUAUUUAAGCAUAUACAAUAAAAUAUUUUAACUGUCUAAA